rnacentral:lncRNA from 1 species
GCGGGCGGGUGGCGGAGACCUGAGACGGAGGGCGGGGCCGCGUAGCCCGAGUACCGGAGCCCGAGAAUGGCCUCCCCGCCCUGCCCUUGACCGCUGUCUUUGGGCUCCUCGCUUACACUCUCGAGUCUCACUUGGAGACCUCCAGCGACGUUGGCAAGGCGGGUUGGCAAGGCGGUGUGAAUGAGAUACGCGUGACAGACGGGGAACUGGUCCCACCCGAGCCCAGUUGGCCUGGGGACACCCGAGGGCCACCGGCGCGGGAUCCCAGUUGGGGCUGUGUCCUGGGCCCCGGGCCAGACCGGGCUCCCUUCCUGGGAGACCCAGUCAGUCCUCCUCUGGUGGGCAGCCCAUCAGUGCUGUCCCCUUUACAGCUGAGGAAACUGAGGCACGGUGGUUCCAGGCAGCCCAAUCCUAGUCUCUGCCAUCGGCUCCACUAGCUGGAGAGACGUCUGGAUGGGAGACGAGGUGGGAGGAGGUCAGAAGGAAACACCCUGUCGUGAGCUCAGCUACAGCAAGGACGGCCCCGGGGCAGGAGGAGCGGAGUGAGCAGAGCUCAAAAGGACAAGUCCCGCGCGGUACAGAAGGCCCCGGAGCCAUCAGCCAGACAGUGGGAGGGUGGGUCCCGGGGGCUUAGUUUACUGGGGACGGAGCAUAUUCUGUUACCAUUUGGCUCUGGGACCCAAAGGCCCGUGUUGAAGACUUUAUCCCCAGCACACGGCGCUCAGAGGGCCCCUUAGGGAAGUGACUGAUCACCAUGGCGCUGUCAUCACGUAGCAUCACUUGCUCUGAAGCCUGUCUGACAUCACUGUCCUGCCUCCAGCUUUCCUCAUCGAAGUCUGCAUGGCCAAUCUCUUCCGAACCUUCUACUCUGAACCUGUGUGUGUCUUCAUAUUGAAAGUGGGUUUUAUGCAGCCGGCCGGGGUCUUGUUUUUUUAUCCAAUUUGGCAGCGUCUGAGUUUUUGUUUCAAGUCAGAGUUUCACAGUUUAGUGUCCUUCCAGAUGUCACUUAGCUAGGCCAUGGUACCAGCUAUUUGGUCAAAUAAGCGUGGAUGUUGCCACAGUUUUUUUUGUUUUUGUUUUUGUUUUUGGUACCGGGGAUCAAACUCGGAUCCUUGUGCUUGAGUGCCACCGUUUUAAAUAAGAUCAGCAUUUAAAUCAGUAGACUUUGCUUAAAGCACAAUGUGGGUAGCCCCCACCAGUUCACUGAAGGACUUAAGGCCAGCCCCCCACCCCAGAAAGAGGGAAUUCUGCCAGCAGACGGCACAGCACACCCCACACAUUAGCCCCUGCAGCCUUGACGAUCACUCCAGCCAACAUCUCACUGGUUCUUUCUCCACAGAACGCUAACAGGUGCCAAAGCUCAUGAGUGGAAAUGCUGGUAAAGCCAAUAUGGGUGCUCAUCUAGCCUCCCCAAAGACAUUUCUACAGUGGUCCC